CCUCCUGGAGGAUAAAGAGGACAAGUAAGACACACAAUCACCUGUCUAUUGAGCAUGCCAUGUAGUUGAAUAGUUGAGGUGCACCCCUGCAAAACACCUCAGCAAAUUACCUGGUUAUGCAAUGAUACAAAGUCCUGGUUUUAAAGACAAACAAGAAGUUAAAACCCACAUGAAAAUAUGCAGAAACCAUGUGACUUCCAGUGUUUGUGAAUCUGAGCUUUAAUCUUCCUAGCUAUGUCUAAAUCAAGUGCCCUAAGCAGCAAGCUGUAUCCCAAGCCCUAUAGGGAAGAGAUUUGACUCCACGAGUUUAUAUUGCUCUCCCUGAGCUUCCUGUGGGGGAAACACAGUCAUGUUGGUAGCAGAGUGUCUGCUCCAGACAGGCUGAACUGAAUGACCCAGAGAUCCAGGGGCCAAGUUCAUUUCAGUGUUUCCAUUGCUCCAUCUCAAACCUAUGAAACAAGGAUCAUGGUCUCUCCUUGCUCACAGGAGUGCUCUGACAAUCAGUACUUCAAAGUGCACUGGGCACUUGGGUUUGGUGGUAGCUGUGAGUCAGGUGCAGUAACAUGAGCUAAUGUAGCAUCACCCCGCAGAAAUCCAUUCUCUCUAGUCUGAGUGGGUGAUAUUUGUUUUUGGAGAGGUGAGUAACUACCACUGAACUUUAUCACAAUAAUAACUGUGAUGAAAGGCUUGUGACUGUGCUGGUAAAUUCUCCCUAAUGUUUCUGCUGUCUGAUAGAACAAUAGUACACAAGUCCCUGGCAAUUCUCCAUGAAGGAUUCAAAACCAACAGACAAAGCAGCUCUAUUCUUUUUCAUUCCAGCAGGGAUGGAUUGUAAGUUCAGUAGCUUGUUCUAGUUAAAGACCUUUUCUUUGACCGACAGAUACUUCACUGUUGACUGAAAAUGACCACUUCUGGGGCUGAUAAGGAGCCCAGUCCCUCACAGGAAACACUCCUGUCAUAUCAUAUAUGACAAUAUAUCAUAUCAUAUCUUUUACCAAACCACAGCCUUCUGAACUUAACAGAAAAUCAAAAACUGCAAGAAAAAAAAGCAUCACAGCAGCGAGAUAUUGAAUAAUGAGUAUAUUGGCUGAACUCGGGGGUGGGAAAGGAGGAUAAUUUGCACCUAUUCAGGAUGUAAAUCACUGCUCCUUCACAGAAGAACCUCUUUCAAUAGUAGCAUUUUUCUCUCUCCCCAGCUCCAGGACUGGAAUUGCAUAUAUCACCCAACUUGCUCUCCCUACCUUGGAGCUGUCACGCAAAGGUGAAUAACCAGUAGUGUGAUUCAAGGAUACCAAAUGAGAAAUAGUCACUCUGACUGCUUAUGGCAUUGAAUGCUUAUGGAAGGAGGGUAGGCAGUAAACAGUGCUUCAGAGACCCUGGCACUUCAGCAUGAAGGUCUGUUCUACAGUGUAUCCAUGAGCAGGUGGAAAAUUGUGUUAUUGCAAGGCUGUUCGAGCACUUACCCAGAGCUUAUAACCUUUUCAUUUCAAAAGUUUGCCAUCAUUAAGAAAAAGAAGGCUGGUCCUCUGCUUUUUCAAUUUUAUUUAUUUGCAGUUUGCAGUAUCUCUGUGCAAACUCUGCUUGUCCUAGUGAUUAUAAGUAUGUAAAGUAUUUUAAAGAUGAACCCACUGAGACCUAAGUUCUGGAUAGCCUUAUUAGGCAAGGCUUCUCUUGCAUGACUUAAUAACACUACCAGGUCCCCCAGUAACACAGGGAGAUGCCUUCUUCACAGUGUUUUUCAUUUUACUGAGUUUGAAGGAUAAAAUGCAUGCCCAGGACAUGAGAGGUGAUUAAAAAGGGUAACAGAUUUUCAGCAGCUGUGUUGCCAUAUGUACUUCAUUCAUUUUUAAAAAAUUUAAUUUCUGUUGCUCCUGAGAGAUCUGUGGGAAGAAUAAAAAGUACUGAGCUCAAUGCAAGCUUGGAGAGUCCUGACUUCCACUGUGCCCUGGUGGAUCACAGCUUUAUCACAUGGGGCUGAGCAAUUCAUCUCCAAUGCCACAGCCUUCCUUUAGAGCUUACGCUGUAGCAACUUGAGUGGGAAGCCAUCUGAAAUUAGGGACAGGGAUGUUUAAAUCAAAUUCUUUUAGGUAUUCAGCACCCAACCCUUAACUCUAAGGAGCCACUUAUAUCCCAGUGGGAUUUAGAGCCCUGCUUUUCCCACCCAGACAGUUGUCUGUGCCAUUUCUUUCCCACAAAAGCCAGAGGAAAACAAGUCCAAUCCCCAUGUUAGUUUUUUAUUUAGGACUGCAGCAGAUUAGAUUUACCCUGGGUACAAGAGUUACAGCAUCCACCUGGGGUAUGAGUGAUACAUGUUGUUUCCCUCUCUGCUUGAAGAGAUUUGAAUGUCCUUCUCCCUAACAAAUCUCUGGAUUAGUUUGUUACUGUUUUCCCAACAUGGAGCUAUUUGCUGGUUGCAAAAACAAAACAAAAGAAAACAAAAAAAAAGUGUUUAUGAAGGGGGUUUUUAACCUUUAUCAGAAAAACUUUUUUCAAAGCCUAAACAAUUGAUUAGGAGAAUAGCACUGUCAUUCUAUACCCAGUUGUUACUAUACAUGAUAUUAUGCAUUUGCACAAACACAGCACUAGAGACACCCAAGCUGUAGCUGUUGGGACCAUUUAAGUACCAUCAGGAGCAAGGAAAGCCAGGGACCUUACAGUCCCACUUCCAGCUCUGGAGAUGCCACAGCUCCAUAACCACCAUGGGAUUUUUAACAAUAAAAUCCCCCAGGAGCCAAAGGAACUUUGCAGUCUGGUAUGUGCCUGCACACUGAGCACUGCCAGGUGUUACAAGCAAGACCUGACCCCAUCAGAGCUCUUCUACCUGACCAGAUACUGCCUGAAAGACCUCAGGGGGGUGAGAUCUCUGCCCCUUGAAAGUGCCAAUAGUGUUUACAGUUAAAUGAAACCCUGGAGAUAAGACCCACAUGUCUGUGGUAAGAGGAUACUUUUGCCAUGAGACUGCCCAAGUGGGCUUGUGUCCUUUCAGCCCACUGAGCCACUAAACUGGUUCCACUCAAAAUGAAGCAGAGGGGCAGAAAGGCUUCCUCUGUGCUGCUGAGGGGAGCUUGGGAAUCAGCCCAGGUUCUGGAAGUCCAUUGUCCAUGCUGCUUGUGGGUUAGCACACUCUGUGGUAGAUCACACCAAAAAGCUUUCUCCCAGACAAACCUGUUCCACUGGGGCUGAUGCCACACACUGCCAUCAUGAGCCAUGUGGUGAUAUCUGGCUUCAGGAGUAAUUUAAUCCCCCAUCUGAUUUUCUUUAGCAUUAUGGAUGUAAUUAAAAAAAUCUGUCUCCAAACCACCAUAAUCUUAUGACAAAACCACAAUUUGACAUUUUAGACAAUCUUCCAGCAUCCUGUUACAUAUAAAGGACUUGGGGGAAUAGUCACAAAGAAAAACAAAUUAAUACACUUUGAUAAAUAACCCUUUUUAGAAUUAUAAUUCAAAAGGUGAGAUGAAGAACUGACCUUAAGUGACCCUUAAGUAGUGGAUAUGUCUUCCUUUGACUUAGGGGUUUGGUGAACUACUGCACAACUUACCUUGGAUACCCUUGGGUGGGGCUGCAGGGCCAGUCUUCAUUCUCAAGGUCAUGUUCAGUUCAUACCCUCUGACAUAUCUACCAUGGACACUCACCCACUGACAGUCUUCAACCUGUUCACUAGCUUAGUCACUGAUAAAAUAGUCCAAAUGACUUUUCAAACAUCUCUAUCAUUAUUUUAAUCAGACUAUGCUUAAAACACAUUCAUUUCAAACUGGGCAGGAUCUCACUUGCAUAAAUCCCAGACUAUUUAUGUGUUUAUAGAUUUUAAAACCAAAAUUAAAGAGCAGCUGGAAGCCACUGGACAUCAACUGGAGUGGCAGAAUCUGCUGCCAUUGAAGAUAUUAACUUUAUUUUUCUAAAGAGAUGUGAAGUUAGGUGAUACAUAAUACAGAGACACAAAUCCAUCUGUCAUUGAUUAAGGCAUAGGGAAAAGGUUCAUAAACUAGGAUGAGAAACAGAAAAGAAAUUAAUGACAAGAGGAAAAUAUUCUUUUGAUGGUUUUCUUUCAGAUGUUCACACCCUGAGUAUUUUAGAAUUAUCCAUUGUAAACUAAUUCUAUUUCCUGCGAUUUGGACAAGUACUUUCCAUAGAUGUUUUUCAACAACAUAAGUUUAUGACUAUUGUCUUAUGAUGUCAUAAUGAAAAGGCUUAGGUAUUAGCUUUAAACAAUUUUUGUUAAACAAGAAUUAUAUAUUUUUCUCAUUUUUAAUUACCCUUUAUGAAUUUAGUGAUUUUUUUUGUGCUUUACAAAUUGAUGGCAUUAAAUUUUCUUGACUAAGCUUUACAGUAAGCAACAUAUAAAUGGGGUUAAUACUUCUGAAAUUAUUUUCCUUUUUCCAUUUUUCAUUUUUGUAAAGCUUUUAUUUCUACUCCAUCAGGGCUAGAAUGUAUUUCAUACUACCAGUUUCACACCAAAGCAAUCAGACAUGGGGAAAACACUUUAGAAAAUCUAGCCUAUUCAAUGCCUUACAUGCUCAACUUUCUGUACAAUGCAUUUUGAAGUGCUUUGUCCUCACCACUUUUAAAUGCUUAUUGUCAGCAUUGACUCAGCUUUAACAAUGAGGGAAAUGAGAGAGAGGCUGGCUUCAAACAGUGUAUUUAAUUUACUCUCUGAUGUGAUUUAUUCUUUUAAUUUUGCUACUCUUUUCCAACAUAUGGUGUAAAAACUAUUUAAAAGACUAUCUGGUUUAAUUAAAUUUCAAGGACACAGAUGAUUAAUUUUAGGUAUAGGAUAGAGAACAUCAGAGAAAUUUUCUUUUUGGUAUUCAUAAGUAUAAAGUUAGAAACCUGGAAUCAAUUGAGACUUGAAUGCAACAUGGAAUCAUUAGGGAAUGGACACCAAAAUAUCUUUGGAGAUUUCAUUCUAAAAUCACAUUUAUGACUUUGAGACACCUCCCAUCUCUCAGUACUUUACAUAAUUCAUGGUGUGGUUUUGCAGACAGUCAUGCUUACAUGGUUUCAAUUCUCAGGAGUCACUGAGUGUGUGGACGAAGAUAGUUCAGCUGAGAAGCAUAUUUGGACUUUCAAAUCCCCUUUGGUUCCUCACAAAGUCUCUUACAAAAUUCAAUUCAAUUAAAUUCAAUUGUGAAGAGAUGAGAGGUAAGGUCCUUUCAUAGAUUAACUGUUUAAAAGGCAGUAAUGGAGUUUAGGAGUAAAAGAUCGAUUUCAUAACUGGGGGAUUGCUGGAGGGGAUCUCUAAGAAUCUGUGUGAGAGCCACUCAGAAGGAACUGACUUAUAAAUAAGCUGGGACAAAGGUUCCCAAGGGAAGGCACACAGGUGAAACAAGAUAUUCAAAGCAGAAAAAGCUAAGCCAGGCUUUCCACAAGGAUUCUAAGAGGUGAGUGACUAAGUAACAAAAUAGCAGUAAAUGAGAUACAGGGUUGAUAAGUGCGAGGUAAAUCAUUGCAGAAGAUAAACCUAAUUACACAUGGAUGAUAAUGGGCUCAAAAUGUUUUUUGGUUUAUUUUUUUUCUCAUUUGUGAGUUUGGGAAAUUACCACAUAUAUGAUUCUGACAUUAGUCCUCUGCUAAGCAGCAGUCAGGAAAUGGGCAAACAAAAUAGAAAAUGCUUCUGCCAUCUACUCACAGUGAGAUCAGAUUUUGGACACAAGAGGUAUUUCUGGUCACUCAGUCCUAGUGAAGACAUAGCAGAAGUAGAUAAAAUACAAAGAGGGGCAGCAAGGAUAAUAAAGACCUUUUUUUGCAUAAGGAAGAAAAUUUCAUCUUAGAAAAGCUGUGUUUGGAAGGUGAUAUCAAAGGAUGCUAACAAACUUCUCUGAUUUCUUUCAGCCAGAAAAGCUCUGGAUCUCAGCUUUCCUACGCCAGAUGUGAUUCCCACUUCUUCUUAAUCCAGACUUCAGAGGAACAGAAGGUGAUGUAAAAUUGUCACCUUCUCACCUCAAUCCUGCCCAAAGUAUAGAUAUUUCCCAGUUUUUGGUUUAAAUAUAGUUUUUCCUAAAUAUUCACCAAGAUGUUUAAUCA